GUCGAGGGGCAUCGGGGAGCGAAGCUUGCUUUGCUCCGCCGGCGACCGGCGCACGGGUGAGUAACGCGUAUGCAACCUGCCCGUUUCAGCGGGAUAACCCGGAGAAAUCCGGCCUAAUACCGCAUGUGGCCGAGGGAAGGCAUCUUCUUUCGGCCAAAGGAGGCGACUCCGGAGACGGAUGGGCAUGCGUGACAUUAGCUUGUUGGCGGGGUAACGGCCCACCAAGGCGACGAUGUCUAGGGGUUCUGAGAGGAAGGUCCCCCACACUGGUACUGAGACACGGACCAGACUCCUACGGGAGGCAGCAGUGAGGAAUAUUGGUCAAUGGGCGAGAGCCUGAACCAGCCAAGUCGCGUGAAGGAUGACGGCCCUACGGGUUGUAAACUUCUUUUGUCAGGGAGCAAUUGAGUCCACGUGUGGGCUUAGCGAGAGUACCUGAAGAAAAAGCAUCGGCUAACUCCGUGCCAGCAGCCGCGGUAAUACGGAGGAUGCGAGCGUUAUCCGGAUUUAUUGGGUUUAAAGGGUGCGUAGGCGGAAUAUCAAGUCAGCGGUAAAAAUUCGGGGCUCAACCCCGUCGUGCCGUUGAAACUGAUGUUCUUGAGUGGGCGAGAAGUAUGCGGAAUGCGUGGUGUAGCGGUGAAAUGCAUAGAUAUCAUGCAGAACUCCGAUUGCGAAGGCAGCAUACCGGCGCCCAACUGACGCUGAAGCACGAAAGCGUGGGUAUCGAACAGGAUUAGAUACCCUGGUAGUCCACGCAGUAAACGAUGAAUGCUAAUUGUCCGGAGGGAUUGACCUCUGGGUGAUACAGCGAAAGCGUUAAGCA
rnacentral:rRNA from 1 species